rnacentral:rRNA from 1 species
UAAAUACUAAUACCAGAUCGAUAGUGCACAAGUACCGUGAGGGAAAGGUGAAAAGAACUGAGGUGAUCAGAGUGAAAUAGAACCUGAAACCAUUUGCUUACAAUCAUUCAGAGCCCUAUGUAGCAAUACAGGGUGAUGGACUGCCUUUUGCAUAAUGAGCCUGCGAGUUGUGGUGUCUGGCAAGGUUAAGCAAACGCGAAGCCGUAGCGAAAGCGAGUCUGAAUAGGGCGCUUAGUCAGAUGCUGCAGACCCGAAACGAAGUGAUCUAUCCAUGAGCAAGUUGAAGCUAGUGUAAGAACUAGUGGAGGACUGAACCCAUAGGCGUUGAAAAGCCCCGGGAUGACUUGUGGAUAGGGGUGAAAGGCCAAUCAAACUUCGUGAUAGCUGGUUCUCUCCGAAAUAUAUUUAGGUAUAGCGUUGUGUCGUAAUAUAAGGGGGUAGAGCACUGAAUGGGCUAGGGCAUACACCAAUGUACCAAACCCUAUCAAACUCCGAAUACCUUAUAUGUAAUCACAGCAGUCAGGCGGCGAGUGAUAAAAUCCGUCGUCAAGAGGGAAACAACCCAGACUACCAGCUAAGGUCCCUAAAUCUUACUUAAGUGGAAAACGAUGUGAAGUUACUUAAACAACCAGGAGGUUGGCUUAGAAGCAGCCAUCCUUUAAAGAAAGCGUAAUAGCUCACUGGUCUAGUGAUUUUGCGCGGAAAAUAUAACGGGGCUAAAGUAAGUACCGAAGCUGUAGACUUGCACACAACUUAGAUUAUUUAAGUUUAGAAUAUGAGAAACUAAGUUAUAUGUUUAGUUAUAUUUUUACUGAUUUUUAUAGAGUAAAGAUAGAAAUAAAACUUAGUAAAAUCAGUAAAAAUAUUCUUAGACUAAAGUUAAGUAGUUUAAGUUGUGUGCAAGUGGUAGGAGAGCGUUCUAUUUGCGUCGAAGGUAUACCGGUAAGGAGUGCUGGAGCGAAUAGAAGUGAGCAUGCAGGCAUGAGUAGCGAUAAUUAAUGUGAGAAUCAUUAACGCCGUAAACCCAAGGUUUCCUACGCGAUGCUCGUCAUCGUAGGGUUAGUCGGGUCCUAAGUCGAGUCCGAAAGGGGUAGACGAUGGCAAAUUGGUUAAUAUUCCAAUACCAACAUUAGUGUGCGAUGGAAGGACGCUUAGGGCUAAGGGGGCUAGCGGAUGGAAGUGCUAGUCUAAGGUCGUAGGAGGUUAUACAGGCAAAUCCGUAUAACAAUACUCCGAGAACUGAAAGGCUUUUUGAAGUCUUCGGAUGGAUAGAAGAACCCCUGAUGCCGUCGAGCCAAGAAAAGUUUCUAAGUUUAGCUAAUGUUGCCCGUACCGUAAACCGACACAGGUGGGUGGGAUGAGUAUUCUAAGGCGCGUGGAAGAACUCUCUUUAAGGAACUCUGCAAAAUAGCACCGUAUCUUCGGUAUAAGGUGUGGUUAGCUUUGUAUUAGGAUUUACUCCGAAAGCAAGGAAACUUACAACAAAGAGUCCCUCCCGACUGUUUACCAAAAACACAGCACUCUGCUAACUCGUAAGAGGAUGUAUAGGGUGUGACGCCUGCCCGGUGCUCGAAGGUUAAUUGAUGGGGUUAGCAUUAGCGAAGCUCUUGAUCGAAGCCCGAGUAAACGGCGGCCGUAACUAUAACGGUCCUAAGGUAGCGAAAUUCCUUGUCGGUUAAAUACCGACCUGCAUGAAUGGCGUAACGAGAUGGGAGCUGUCUCAAAGAGGGAUCCAGUGAAAUUGUAGUGGAGGUGAAAAUUCCUCCUACCCGCGGCAAGACGGAAAGACCCCGUGGACCUUUACUACAGCUUGACACUGCUAUUUGGAUAAGAAUGUGCAGGAUAGGUGGGAGGCUUUGAGUAUAUGACGCCAGUUGUAUAUGAGCCAUUGUUGAGAUACCACUCUUUCUUAUUUGGGUAGCUAACCAGCUUGAGUUAUCCUCAAGUGGGACAAUGUCUGGUGGGUAGUUUGACUGGGGCGGUCGCCUCCCAAAUAAUAACGGAGGCUUACAAAGGUUGGCUCAGAACGGUUGGAAAUCGUUCGUAGAGUAUAAAGGUAUAAGCCAGCUUAACUGCAAGACAUACAAGUCAAGCAGAGACGAAAGUCGGUCUUAGUGAUCCGGUGGUUCUGUGUGGAAGGGCCAUCGCUCAAAGGAUAAAAGGUACCCCGGGGAUAACAGGCUGAUCUCCCCCAAGAGCUCACAUCGACGGGGAGGUUUGGCACCUCGAUGUCGGCUCAUCGCAUCCUGGGGCUGGAGCAGGUCCCAAGGGUAUGGCUGUUCGCCAUUUAAAGCGGUACGCGAGCUGGGUUCAGAACGUCGUGAGACAGUUCGGUCCCUAUCUGCCGUGGGCGUAAGAAGAUUGAAGAGAUUUGACCCUAGUACGAGAGGACCGGGUUGAACAAACCACUGGUGUAGCUGUUGUUCUGCCAAGAGCAUCGCAGCGUAGCUAAGUUUGGAAAGGAUAAACGCUGAAAGCAUCUAAGCGUGAAGCCAACUCUAAGAUGAAUCUUCUCUAAGCUCUCUAGAAGACUACUAGUUUGAUAGGCUGGGUGUGUAAUGGAUGAAAGUCCUUUAGCUGACCAGUACUAAUAGAGCGUUUGGCUUAUCUUUAAUAAAGCAU